rnacentral:rRNA from 1 species
UACGUAGGGUGCACGCGUUGUCCGGAAUUAUUGGGCGUAAAGAGCUCGUAGGUGGUCUAUCCCGUCGGAUGUGAAACCCUGAGGCUCAACCUCAGGCCUGCAUUCGAUACGGGCAGACUAGAGUGUGGUAGGGGAGACUGGAAUUCCUGGUGUAGCGGUGAAAUGCGCAGAUAGCAGGAGGAACACCGGUGGCGAAGGCGGGUCUCUGGGCCAUUACUGACACCGAGGAGCGAAAGCGUGGGGAGCAAACAGG